rnacentral:snoRNA from 1 species
UAACACAUUCAACAGUAGGAUCAUUUCUAUAGGAAUCGUCACUCUUUGACUCUUCAAAAGAGCCACUGAAUCCAACUUGGUUGAUGAGCCCCAUAACCUUUGUACCCUAGAGUGAGAAAUUGAAAUUAAUCGAAAUUAGCUUGGUCCGCAAUCCUUAGCGGUUCGGCCAUCUAUAAUUUUUUAACAAAUUUUGCUUUGCCGUUGCAUUUGUAAUCUCUUCCUCUGGAAGCUUUUACGAUCUUUAAUGGCGCGAUGAUCUUGACCCAUCCUAUGUACUUCCUUUUUGGAAGGGAUAGGGCUUCAUGGGUGGGUACAAAUGGCAGUCUGACAAGU